rnacentral:piRNA from 1 species
UGGAAGAUAAAUGGUUUUUGUCUUCAGAGC